UGUCUACCCUAAGCCUGCAUUCCUACCUUCUUCUCUUUUUUCCACCGGGUAAGUCUUGUUGAGUACUCCCGUACUCAGGGUUUCAUAACCCCUGUUGUAGGUGAAGCUCAGGAGCCGACUUGUUUCGGACCCUGUUGUGUGACCGUCGUUGAGGUUGACGAUGAAGAAGAGUGAGCAUGACCCAUGGGCAGGGUCUGUAAAUUUGUAAUCUGUGUACUAAAGUUUAAGUUGCUCCGCUGGACCUGGUUUGUAAUAACACUCUGCUAUUUGGAAGAACUCCUUUUGUAAAAUAUGUUAUGUAAUACUUCCGCUGUUUUACUCUGAAAUAUUAUUUUGGUCUUGUGUCGUCUGUGAUACUGCAAUGUCUUUGCAACGAAUGAUCCUGGUGUUA
rnacentral:lncRNA from 1 species